rnacentral:rRNA from 1 species
ACGAACGCUGGCGGCGUGGAUAAGACAUGCAAGUCGAACGAGAGAAUUGCUAGCUUGCUAAUAAUUCUCUAGUGGCGCACGGGUGAGUAACACGUGAGUAACCUGCCCCCGAGAGCGGGAUAGCCCUGGGAAACUGGGAUUAAUACCGCAUAGUAUCGAAAGAUUAAAGCAGCAAUGCGCUUGGGGAUGGGCUCGCGGCCUAUUAGUUAGUUGGUGAGGUAACGGCUCACCAAGGCGAUGACGGGUAGCCGGUCUGAGAGGAUGUCCGGCCACACUGGAACUGAGACACGGUCCAGACACCUACGGGUGGCAGCAGUCGAGAAUCAUUCACAAUGGGGGAAACCCUGAUGGUGUGACGCCGCGUGGGGGAAUGAAGGUCUUCGGAUUGUAAACCCCUGUCAUGUGGGAGCAAAUUAAAAAGAUAGUACCACAAGAGGAAGAGACGGCUAACUCUGUGCCAGCAGCCGCGGUAAUACAGAGGUCUCAAGCGUUGUUCGGAAUCACUGGGCGUAAAGCGUGCGUAGGCUGUUUCGUAAGUCGUGUGUGAAAGGCGCGGGCUCAACCCGCGGACGGCACAUGAUACUGCGAGACUAGAGUAAUGGAGGGGGAACCGGAAUUCUCGGUGUAGCAGUGAAAUGCGUAGAUAUCGAGAGGAACACUCGUGGCGAAGGCGGGUUCCUGGACAUUAACUGACGCUGAGGCACGAAGGCCAGGGGAGCGAAAGGGAUUAGAUACCCCUGUAGUCCUGGCAGUAAACGGUGCACGCUUGGUGUGCGGGGAAUCGACCCCCUGCGUGCCGGAGCUAACGCGUUAAGCGUGCCGCCUGGGGAGUACGGUCGCAAGAUUAAAACUCAAAGAAAUUGACGGGGACCCGCACAAGCGGUGGAGUAUGUGGCUUAAUUCGAUGCAACGCGAAGAACCUUACCUGGGCUUGACAUGUAAUGAACAACAUGUGAAAGCAUGCGACUCUUCGGAGGCGUUACACAGGUGCUGCAUGGCCGUCGUCAGCUCGUGUCGUGAGAUGUUUGGUUAAGUCCAGCAACGAGCGCAACCCCUGUUGCCAGUUACCAGCACGUGAAGGUGGGGACUCUGGCGAGACUGCCCAGAUCAACUGGGAGGAAGGUGGGGACGACGUCAGGUCAGUAUGGCCCUUAUGCCCAGGGCUGCACACGUACUACAAUGCCCAGUACAGAGGGGGCCGAAGCCGCGAGGCGGAGGAAAUCCUGAAAACUGGGCCCAGUUCGGACUGUAGGCUGCAACCCGCCUACACGAAGCCGGAAUCGCUAGUAAUGGCGCAUCAGCUACGGCGCCGUGAAUACGUUCCCGGGUCUUGUACACACCGCCCGUCACAUCAUGGAAGCCGGUCGCACCCGAAGUAUCUGAAGCCAACCGCAAGGAGGCAGGGUCCUAAGGUGAGACAGGUAACUGGGAUG